rnacentral:rRNA from 1 species
GAUGAACGCUAGCGAUAGGCUUAACACAUGCAAGUCGAGGGGCAGCAUGGUCUUAGCUUGCUAAGACUGAUGGCGACCGGCGCACGGGUGCGUAACGCGUAUGCAACUUGCCUCACAGAGGGGGAUAACCCGUCGAAAGACGGACUAAUACCGCGUACACUUGGGAUAGGGCAUCCUGACCCAAGGAAAUGAAAUUCGCUGUGAGAUAGGCAUGCGUCCCAUUAGCUAGUUGGUGAGGUAACGGCUCACCAAGGCGACGAUGGGUAGGGGAACUGAGAGGUUGACCCCCCACACUGGUACUGAGACACGGACCAGACUCCUACGGGAGGCAGCAGUGAGGAAUAUUGGUCAAUGGGCGAGAGCCUGAACCAGCCAAGUCGCGUGAAGGAUGACUGUCUUAUGGAUUGUAAACUUCUUUUAGACGGGAAUAACAAGAGCCACGUGUGGCUCCCUGCAUGUACCGUAUGAAUAAGCAUCGGCUAACUCCGUG